UGGGGAAUUUUGGACAAUGGGGGAAACCCUGAUCCAGCCAUCCCGCGUGUGCGAUGAAGGCCUUCGGGUUGUAAAGCACUUUUGGCAGGAAAGAAACGUCAUGGGUUAAUACCCCGUGAAACAGACGGUACCUGCAGAAUAAGCACCGGCUAACUACGUGCCAGCAGCCGCGGUAAUACGUAGGGUGCAAGCGUUAAUCGGAAUUACUGGGCGUAAAGCGUGCGCAGGCGGUUCGGAAAGAAAGAUGUGAAAUCCCAGAGCUCAACUUUGGAACUGCAUUUUUAACUACCGGGCUAGAGUGUGUCAGAGGGAGGUGGAAUUCCGCGUGUAGCAGUGAAAUGCGUAGAUAUGCGGAGGAACACCGAUGGCGAAGGCAGCCUCCUGGGAUAACACUGACGCUCAUGCACGAAAGCGUGGGGAGCAAACAGG
rnacentral:rRNA from 1 species